GACGAACGCUGGCGGCGUGCUUAACACAUGCAAGUCGAACGGAAAGGCCCUGCUUUUGUGGGGUGCUCGAGUGGCGAACGGGUGAGUAACACGUGAGUAACCUGCCCUUGACUUUGGGAUAACUUCAGGAAACUGGGGCUAAUACCGGAUAGGAGCUCCUGCUGCAUGGUGGGGGUUGGAAAGUUUCGGCGGUUGGGGAUGGACUCGCGGCUUAUCAGCUUGUUGGUGGGGUAGUGGCUUACCAAGGCUUUGACGGGUAGCCGGCCUGAGAGGGUGACCGGCCACAUUGGGGAUGAGAUACGGCCCAGACUCCUACGGGAGGCAGCAGUGGGGAAUAUUGCACAAUGGGCGGAAGACUGAUGCAGCAACGCCGCGUGCGGGAUGACGGCCUUCGGGUUGUAACCCGCUUUCGCCUGUGACGAAGCGUGAGUGACGGUAAUGGGUAAAGAAGCACCGGCUAACUACGUG
rnacentral:rRNA from 1 species